rnacentral:rRNA from 1 species
UCGAGCGGAACGAGUUAUCUGANCCUUCGGNGAACGAUAACGGCGNCNAGNGGCGGACGGGUGAGUAAUGCCUAGGAAAUUGCCUUGAUGUGGGGGAUAACCAUUGGAAACGAUGGCUAAUACCGCAUAAUGCCUACGGGCCAAAGAGGGGGACCUUCGGGCCUCUCGCGUCAAGAUAUGCCUAGGUGGGAUUAGCUAGUUGGUGAGGUAAUGGCUCACCAAGGCGACGAUCCCUAGCUGGUCUGAGAGGAUGAUCAGCCACACUGGAACUGAGACACGGUCCAGACUCCUACGGGAGGCAGCAGUGGGGAAUAUUGCACAAUGGGCGAAAGCCUGAUGCAGCCAUGCCGCGUGUAUGAAGAAGGCCUUCGGGUUGUAAAGUACUUUCAGUUGUGAGGAAGGGGGUGUCGUUAAUAGCGGCAUCUCUUGACGUUAGCAACAGAAGAAGCACCGGCUAACUCCGUGCCAGCAGCCGCGGUAAUACGGAGGGUGCGAGCGUUAAUCGGAAUUACUGGGCGNAAAGCGCAUGCAGGUGGUUCAUUAAGUCAGAUGUGAAAGCCCGGGGCUCNACCUCGGAACUGCAUUUGAAACUGGUGAACUAGAGUACUGUAGAGGGGGGUAGAAUUUCNGGUGUAGCGGUGAAAUGNGUANAGAUCUGAAGGAAUACCAGUGGCGAANGNGGCCCCCUGNNCAGAUACUGACACUCANAUGCGAAAGCGUGGGGAGCANACAGGAUUA